GAGUGGUGUUUGGUUUGUUACGUGUGGUUGGCUGCGGCGUUUGCAACAACUUCCAUGCUUUCAGACCUCUUCAGUCGUGCGGCAAGGCUUGUAUCACCUUGAGCGUAUUGUGGGUUUUCUGUGUUGGCUACCUAAUCAAUGGUAUCGGUUGGAUUGAUCAAUGUUUCAUUUCGUCUAUCGUCGCAUUCGCGGCGUGAGAUGAACCUUGAUGCGGUCUCUUUGAUCCACCUCGUCGAAGCGCAUGCUUUGGCGUUGUGGCACAUUGAGCAUUGCUUGGUCUCUUGUAUACGGAACAUAUAGUGGGCAUGGAUCUAACGAUUCUCGUUUGCCCUCAUAUUAGCGUAACGCUUCUCUUACACGACUUGCACCACGUUUUAGCUCGUAC
rnacentral:misc_RNA from 1 species